rnacentral:rRNA from 1 species
UACGAGGGGGGCGAGCGUUGUUCGGAAUUAUUGGGCGUAAAGGGUGCGUAGGCGGUUCGGUAAGUCUUGUGUGAAAUCUUCGGGCUCAACUCGAAGUCUGCACGAGAAACUGCCGGGCUUGAGUGUGGGAGAGGUGAGUGGAAUUUCCGGUGUAGCGGUGAAAUGCGUAGAUAUCUGGAGGAACACCGGUGGCGAAGGCGGCAUCCUGGACCGGCAUUGACGCUGAGGCGCGAAAGCUAGGGGAGCAAACAGGGG